rnacentral:rRNA from 1 species
GCGGAAGGAUCAUUAAUGGAUUGAAACUCUGGCAGAUGGUUGUUGCUGGCUCUCACUGGGAGGGCACUGUGCACGCCCUCUUGCUCGUUUCCUUCUUUAUCACCUGUGCACUAUUUUGUAGACUCUAGUGUCUAUGUAUUUUUAUCAUAAAUACAAUGUUAAGAAUGUAUUCAUAAAAGGUGUAUAUAUCAUACAACUUUCAACAAUGGAUCUCUUGGCUCUUGCAUCGAUGAAGAACGCAGCGAAAUGCGAUAAGUAAUGUGAAUUGCAGAAUUCAGUGAAUCAUCGAAUCUUUGAACGCACCUUGCGCUCCUUGGUAUUCCAAGAAGCAUGCCUGUUUGAGUGUCAUUAAUAUCUCAAAAAUGCUUUACUUUAGUCAAGUGUUUUUGGAUUUUGGGAGUUUAUUGCUGGCUUGUCUGUCAGCUCUCCUUAAAAGUAUUAGCUUUUGGCUCUUCUCUUUUAACUGGUAUGAUAGUUAUCUAUGCCUGUAAAGGGAGAAGUGGUAAAGCCUCUAAUAAUCCUGUGACAUGUUGACCUCAAAUCAGGUAGGAUUACCCGCUGAACUUAAGCAUAUCAA